rnacentral:rRNA from 1 species
UACAGAGGUCUCAAGCGUUGUUCGGAUUCAUUGGGCGUAAAGGGCUCGUAGGCGGCCAACUAAGUCAGACGUGAAAUCCCUCGGCUUAACCGGGGAACUGCGUCUGAUACUGGAUGGCUAGAGUUUGGGAGAGGGAUGCGGAAUUCCAGGUGUAGCGGUGAAAUGCGCAGAUAUCAGGAAGAACACCUAUGGCGAAGGCAGCUCUCUGGGACGGUACUGACGCUGAGACGCGAAAGCGUGGGGAGCGAACAGG